rnacentral:rRNA from 1 species
GAUGAACGCUGGCGGCGUGCCUAAUACAUGCAAGUCGAGCGAACGGACGAGAAGCUUGCUUCUCUGAUGUUAGCGGCGGACGGGUGAGUAACACGUGGAUAACCUACCUAUAAGACUGGGAUAACUUCGGGAAACCGGAGCUACUACCGGCUGAUAUUUUGUACCGCAUGGUUCAAAAGUGAAAGACGGUCUUGGUGUCACUUAUAGAUGGAUCCGCGCUGCAUUAGCUAGUUGGUAAGGUAACGGCUUACCAAGGCAACGAUGCAUAGCCGACGUGAGAGGGUGAUCGGCCACACUGGAACUGAGACACGGUCCAGACUCCUACGGGAGGCAGCAGUAGGGAAUCUUCCGCAAAGGGCGAAAGCCUGACGGAGCAACGCCGCGUGAGUGAUGAAGGUCUUCGGAUCGUAAAACUCUGUUAUUAGGGAAGAACAUAUGUGUAAGUAACUGUGCACAUCUUGACGGUACCUAAUCAGAAAGCCACGGCUAACUACGUG